rnacentral:tRNA from 2 species
GGGGGCGUAGCUCAGCGGUGAGAGCACCCGCCUUAUAAGCGGGAGGUCGCGGGUUCGAUACCCGCCGCCCCUA